AUGCUACAUGUGCGCACGCGUUGCAUUAUUUCACUACUAAGAACACAAGAUCUACUUAAUCGUAGCUAGAGACCAGUAAUUCUCGACACGGUAGAUGUACCGGUGGUUGUAAUGUUAGCAAUAGUAACGAAGGGCGUGUAGGUUUACCUCCAACAAUAAGGGUGACAGGAAUGAAUCGCUUGAAUUCAUAUAUGUUCACAUGAAAGAAAACGUAAAGAGAUGGAUGCGCGAAGAAUUCUUUCGAAACUUCGGACGACGGUUUUAUCAAAAGUUUGAUCUACGAGACUCGAUAACUUAUCUUGCUGUCGAACUCCGAUCUUGAGAAGCGCCGCCGUUUGAACUUUACAAGUAUUAUUCGUGUGAUGUGAAGAAGCAGCUUCCAAUGGGCGUCUCGAUUUUCCUACGGAUUUCCCAUUCAUCGGAUCCUGCACUAGCAACGCAAGCUCGCAUCUCGCGAUUCUCUCGUCUUAAGGAGAUCGAUGAUUUCUCCAACAUGGAGUUCUCUGCUGAUGAUAAGGAAGAUAAAGGGUUAAAUUAAAAUGAGAAAUAAAAGACGUGGUUGAUAGAAGGUAUAAUACUUUAUUGGCUCGUCAGGGAAAACCUUGCGGCAUAAAAGGGCCCAUCAGGGCGUAUGUAGUGGGGAUACGAGUGGUGGGAGCGUGC